rnacentral:lncRNA from 1 species
AAAUAAUAAUAAUAAUAAUAAAAAAUCAAGUAUCUUUUUAUCACUGUUUAAUCAAAGUUUGAUUUGAAGUUGCUACAGAAUCAUCCUGCUCUGUGUGAAUAAGGAAAGGAUAUGGUAUUGAGAAUAACGUCAAUUUUCUUAACCUAAACUGCAGUGAAACUUCUCUCCCUACCAAAACAAAACAAAGCAGAAGGCAUGUGACAGGCUGUUGUUAUAACAGUACGGGAGAGGAAAACGAGGAACCAAAAACAGGCUGUAGCAGAAGAAGAUGGAGGAAUUGCUGUGUUUACCUCCUAGUGUUCUAUUUUUAACCCACUGUAUGCUGUAAGCUUCAUGGUGAGGUGAAGUUGUGCAGAAGAUGUUAAGGUCUCACAGACAAGUGAGCAACGAAUCCUGCUGCCAACAUUACUCCAGAGCAAGGAGGUGGUCAGGCUGAGAGGAGCUUCUUAACCUCCAGAUUUGGAAGUACAGCAAAGCUGAUGACUGCAUUGAGUAUUUGUAAAAGGCCAGCAGAAAGAAUCCCUGAGGAACAUCAUCUUCACAUGAAAUACGAAACAUCCGUUUUGUUAAGGUCCUCACAUCUGCUCAGGUGAUGCCAGAAAUCUCUGGUGCCACAAGCUCCUAAGGGAACUGAAACAAAGGAAGAGCAGUGAAGGGAAACAUAUACUACAUGUCUGCCUACUCUGCUAAGCUCUCAGACUCUCCUAGAGCCUCCAGAAAUAUCUGUUGCUUGUUUCAAGUUACAAUAGACGUUUUGGGCAGUACUGUUUAGGUUUGAGUCUCAAUAUAUUAAUAUAUAUGAAUGGGGUAAUAUAUUUGGGAGACUUGUGAUAAUAAAUUACUUUCUGUAUUGUACUUAGUGUUAAGG